rnacentral:rRNA from 1 species
UUAUCUCUGUAGAGUCUGCAUAUCAAUAAGCGGAGGAAAAGAAACUAACUAGGAUUCCCUCAGUAACGGCGAGUGAAGCGGGAAGAGCUCAAAUUUGAAAUCUUAAAGGGUUUCCCUUUACGAAUUGUAGUUUAAAGAAGUGUUUUCUGUUGGAGUUUCGGUAAAAGUUCUUUGGAAUAGGACAUCAUAGAGGGUGAGAAUCCCGUAUUUGACCGUUACUUUCCAGUUGUGUGAUACACUUUCAAAGAGUCGGAUUGUUUGGGAAUGCAGUCCAAAAUGGGUGGUAAAUUUCAUCUAAAGCUAAAUAUUGGCGAGAGACCGAUAGCGAACAAGUACCGUGAGGGAAAGAUGAAAAGAACUUUGAAAAGAGAGUUAAACAGUACGUGAAAUUGUCAAAAGGGAAGCGUUUGACACCAGUGUUGUUUAGUUGAAAAUCAAUUCAAUAGUUUUUGAUUCUAAGUAGUAUUGACUUCAUCAGCUUGCUGCUUUCUUCUCAGAAAUUAUUGAAUGCACUUUUCAGUUAACAAGUCAACAUCAAUUUCUUUUGUUGUAAAAGGGUAAGAGGAAGGUGGCUUGCGCUUCGGCUCAAGUGUUUAUAGCCUUUUAUCUCUGCAAUCGGAGAGAUUGAGGUCUGCAGCGUAGAUCCUUCGGGGUUAGAUACAUUGGUGCUAAGCUAUAGCCUUGUAUAGACAACUUGUUGACUAUGCUCAGUCAUGUAGCUUACUCGCUGAUGCUAUUUUACCUACGCUUAGGAUGUUGAACGCGCACAGAGUCUC